rnacentral:rRNA from 1 species
CACUGAAUGGAGGACCGAACCGACUUACGUUGAAAAGUGAGCGGAUGAACUGAGGGUAGCGGAGAAAUUCCAAUCGAACCUGGAGAUAGCUGGUUCUCUCCGAAAUAGCUUUAGGGCUAGCCUCAAGUGAUGAUUAUUGGAGGUAGAGCACUGUUUGGACGAGGGGCCCCUCUCGGGUUACCGAAUUCAGACAAACUCCGAAUGCCAAUUAAUUUAACUUGGGAGUCAGAACAUGGGUGAUAAGGUCCGUGUUCGAAAGGGAAACAGCCCAGACCACCAGCUAAGGUCCCAAAAUAUAUGUUAAGUGGAAAAGGAUGUGGCGUUGCCCAGACAACUAGGAUGUUGGCUUAGAAGCAGCCAUCAUUUAAAGAGUGCGUAAUAGCUCACUAGUCGAGUGACACUGCGCCGAAAAUGUACCGGGGCUAAACAUAUUACCGAAGCUGUGGAUUGUCCUUUGGACAAUGGUAGGAGAGCGUUCUAAGGGCGUUGAAGCAUGAUCGUAAGGACAUGUGGAGCGCUUAGAAGUGAGAAUGCCGGUGUGAGUAGCGAAAGACGGGUGAGAAUCCCGUCCACCGAUUGACUAAGGUUUCCAGAGGAAGGCUCGUCCGCUCUGGGUUAGUCGGGUCCUAAGCUGAGGCCGACAGGCGUAGGCGAUGGAUAACAGGUUGAUAUUCCUGUACCACCUAUAAUCGUUUUA